AGUGAACGCUGGCGGUAGGCCUAACACAUGCAAGUCGAACGGUAGCACAGUAAGAGCUUGCUCUUACGGGUGGCGAGUGGCGGACGGGUGAGGAAUACAUCGGAAUCUACUUUUUCGUGGGGGAUAACGUAGGGAAACUUACGCUAAUACCGCAUACGACCUACGGGUGAAAGCAGGGGAUCUUCGGACCUUGCGCGAUUGAAUGAGCCGAUGUCGGAUUAGCUAGUUGGCGGGGUAAAGGCCCACCAAGGCGACGAUCCGUAGCUGGUCUGAGAGGAUGAUCAGCCACACUGGAACUGAGACACGGUCCAGACUCCUACGGGAGGCAGCAGUGGGGAAUAUUGGACAAUGGGCGCAAGCCUGAUCCAGCCAUACCGCGUGGGUGAAGAAGGCCUUCGGGUUGUAAAGCCCUUUUGUUGGGAAAGAAGAGCAGCAGGUUAAUACCCCGCUGUUCUGACGGUACCCAAAGAAUAAGCACCGGCUAACUUCGUG
rnacentral:rRNA from 1 species